GAGUUUGAUCGUGGCUCAGGAUGAACGCUAGCGGCGCGCCUAAUGCAUGCAAGUCGAGCGAUGAGGCACCUUUGGGUGUACAUCAGCGGCAGACGGGUGAGUAACACGUAGGUGACCUACCCGAAGACGGGGAUAACAGGUGGAAACAUCUGCUAAUACCCGAUGGACUCUGAGCGGAAGCGAGGAGUAAAGGCUACGGUGCUUCGGGAGGGCCUGCGGCCUAUCAGCUAGUUGGUAGGGUAACGGCCUACCAAGGCGAAGACGGGUAGGGGUGUGAGAGCACGGCCCCCCACAAUGGGACUGAGACACGGCCCAUACUCCUACGGGAGGCAGCAGCAGGGAAUAUUGCGCAAUGGGCGGAAGCCUGACGCAGCGACGCCGCGUGGAUGAAGAAGGCCUUCGGGUUGUAAAAUCCUUUUCUAGGGGACGAGGAGGACGGUACCCCGUGGAAUAAGCGUCGGCUAACUACGUGCA
rnacentral:rRNA from 1 species